AAGCGGGGGAUCUUCGGACCUCGCGCGGUUGGAUGGACCGAUGUUCGAUUAGCUUGUUGGCGGGGUAAUGGCCCACCAAGGCGACGAUCGGUAGCUGGUCUGAGAGGAUGAUCAGCCACACUGGGACUGAGACACGGCCCAGACUCCUACGGGAGGCAGCAGUGGGGAAUAUUGGACAAUGGGCGCAAGCCUGAUCCAGCAAUGCCGCGUGUGUGAAGAAGGCCUUCGGGUUGUAAAGCACUUUUAUCAGGAGCGAAAUACUACCGGUUAAUAACCGGUGGGGCUGACGGUACCUGAGGAAUAAGCACCGGCUAACUUCGUGCCAGCAGCCGCGGUAAU
rnacentral:rRNA from 1 species